rnacentral:rRNA from 1 species
GACGAACGCUGGCGGCGCGCUUAACACAUGCAAGUCGAACGGAAAGGCCUGCUUUCCCUUGUGGAUUGCGGGUACUCGAGUGGCGAACGGGUGAGUAACACGUGAGUGAUCUGCCCCCAACUUGGGUAUAAGCCUGGGAAACUGGGUCUAAUUCCCGAUAGGACUGCAGGGUGGUGCCUGUGGUGGAAAACGAUUUUCUAGUGGUUGGGGAUGAGCUCGCGGCCUAUCAGCUUGUUGGUGGGGUAAUGGCCUACCAAGGCGGCGACGGGUAGCCGGCCUGAGAGGGUGGACGGCCACAUUGGGACUGGGAUACGGCCCAGACUGCUACGGGAGGCAGCAGUGGGGAAUAUUGGACAAUGAGCGGGAGCCUGAUGCAGCGACGCCGCGUGGGGGAUGACGGCCUUCGGGUUGUAAACUCCUUUCGACCGCGAGGAAGCCACCUGGUUGGAGGGGUGGUGACGGUAGUGGUAGAAGAAGCACCGGCUAACUACGUG